GAGAAGCCAGUCUGAGAGGUAGAAUAUUCUGCUUGGAGGAGCUGAAGGUCAAAGAACACCUAAGGCUACGGAAGCUGGCACAGCAAGGAGAUACCCUACCCAAGAGGCUGCAAAGGUGUUUUGAUAUCAACUUAUUCUGUGUGCCCCUAUACACCUUGCUACAAAUAGGCAGCUUUCUUGAUCCAUCACAUCGAAUGGGGUAUGGGUGAUUAAGAGCUCUUGAAUACUGUUCUAAAAUCACAGGAGACAUGAGUCACAGUUCCACACCAGAGACCUAACCAUCAUUCUUUUAUUUAAGUUUACCUUCAGUUUUGUCAAUAUAGCUUACUUACUUUACUUUAACUACUGGUUGGACUCAUGUAAUAAAUGUACUUACCAAUUAGAGGAAUGAAACAUUUUUAAUCCUUUUAGUUGGCAUAUUAUUUCUCACUCUAUUUCCACAAACACUACUCAAUUAGUAUCAGUUAUCUUUAAGCCAUUCUAUGUCCUAAUCUCCUGAUCUGUAAUAUUGAAAUCAAAAGGUUACUCUACAUAUUUCACAGAAUUUUUAGGUAUUAUAAAUGUAUCAGAUGAAAUAGUUUACAACAAUGCUGAGACCUAACUGUCAUGAAACUACCAUGGUUAUAUAAUCUAUCUAUGUAAGUUAUAUUAUCAUGAUUCUACUCUAAAGUUGGUGCAUACAAAAUUGCUUAUGUUUUCUGUUUAAUUUUACAUAUGGUCUUCAUGUCUAAAAUAAAAUUGUUGGAUGCGACCAAUCAAAUUCUAAAAAUUGUACCUAUAUUUAAACAGUAUUUAUAACGUAUGUGAAUGGAGAAAUUAUUCCUGGACCUACUCACCACCUGGUUCUUACUUUCAAAAUACAUUUUUGAUAUAUUUUAAGCAAAGUUGUACUUUUAGAUUUUGUUUGUUUAUUUGAAUCUUAGGCCACAUGGCAAAUGAAUGAGAAGAAAAAGACAGUUACAGCAAAGAAGUUACCACAUAUGCCCGUAAAAUCUAAAACAAACAUUGUAUGACUUAGUUUAUUCUGUAAGAAAUUCAGGUUCCUAUAAAUGUAUCUAACAUACAAUUCAAUAUUGAAUACAAUAA